rnacentral:rRNA from 1 species
CGCCUGGGGAGUGCGGCCGCAAGGCUAAAACUCAAAGGAAUUGACGGGGCCCCGCACAAGCGGCGGAGCAUGCGGAUUAAUUCGAUGCAACGCGUAGAACCUUACCUGGGUUUGACAUGGAUCGGGAGUGCUCAGAGAUGGGUGUGCCUCUUUUGGGGUCGGUUCACAGGUGGUGCAUGGCUGUCGUCAGCUCGUGUCGUGAGAUGUUGGGUUAAGUCCCGCAACGAGCGCAACCCUUGUUCACUGUUGCCAGCACGUUAUGGUGGGGACUCAGUGGAGACCGCCGGGGUCAACUCGGAGGAAGGUGGGGAUGACGUCAAGUCAUCAUGCCCCUUAUGUCCAGGGCUUCACGCAUGCUACAAUGGCUGGUACAGAGAGCGGCGAGCCUGUGAGGGUGAGCGAAUCUCGGAAAGCCGGUCUCAGUUCGGAUUGGGGUCUGCAACUCGACCUCAUGAAGUCGGAGUCGCUAGUAAUCGCAGAUCAGCAACGCUGCGGUGAAUACGUUCCCGGGGCUUGUACACACCGCCCGUCAAGUCAUGAAAGUUGGUAACACCCGAAGCCGGUGGCCUAACCGUUGUGGGGGAGCCGUCGAAGGUGGGACUGGUGAUUAGGACUAAGUCGUAACAAGGUAACCGUA